rnacentral:rRNA from 1 species
GACGAACGCUGGCGGCGUGCUUAACACAUGCAAGUCGAACGAUGAUCAGGAGCUUGCUCCUGUGAUUAGUGGCGAACGGGUGAGUAACACGUGAGUAACCUGCCCCUGGCUCUGGGAUAAGCGUUGGAAACGACGUCUAAUACUGGAUGCGACUGCCGGCCGCAUGGUCUGGUGGUGGAAAGAUUUUUUGGUUGGGGAUGGACUCGCGGCCUAUCAGCUUGUUGGUGAGGUAAUGGCUCACCAAGGCGACGACGGGUAGCCGGCCUGAGAGGGUGACCGGCCACACUGGGACUGAGACACGGCUCAGACUCCUACGGGAGGCAGCAGUGGGGAAUAUUGCACAAUGGGCGAAAGCCUGAUGCAGCAACGCCGCGUGAGGGAUGACGGCCUUCGGGUUGUAAACCUCUUUUAGUAGGGAAGAAGCGAAAGUGACGGUACCUGCAGAAAAAGCACCGGCUAACUACGUGCCAGCAGCCGCCGCGG